GGAUCUUAAGUGUUGACACCCACGCCCCUUUUCUUACAGCUUGUUUGUUAUUUCCACUUCUACUCCAAAUUACACUGCAUAUCUGAGAUGCAAACCCUUUACUGUCACAAAGCAUCCUUUCUGUGUACUACAAUGAAAUCCCAAGAAUUUGUAGGUUCCUGGUAAUUGGUGGGUGGCUGCAAACACUAUAAAGCCAUCUUGUGUUAACUUUAUUGCAGUGACACCAACCUUCCCGACAAGAAAAGGCAGCGUCCUUCCAGACAGCUCUUAUCUGCACACCAGUGAAACGCAGUUAGACAACAGGCUCUGUACACAGCAGGCUGGUUUAUAGGUCAGAUGCCAGCACAAGAGAAGUUUCAGGCUUGCAAUAAAUACACAGACAGGUAAUUCUCCAUAUAGAGAAGGCAAGCAAGGCCUCACUCCUGACCGUGUGUCCCCAGGUUCCCUGUUUACCUCAUUAUCAUGGGGCGGCAGCUGAUAGAGAAGUUGUUUAAUCCUGUGCUUCUCUCCCGGGCUGUUAACAUAAGGGACCUUCUCCUCUGGCAGGCAGGCAAAAUACAGCUGUACCUACACAGGAGGAAUGGGAAGUCAGACCAGGAGAAAUGCAGCACCCGAGCAGCCUUCAGCUACUGUUUUAUCUCAAGUCUCAUUACAAAGGAAGCAGGCUAUGCUACAUUAGAGCCGUGACAGGGCCUGUGCUGAAAAUACGAGACCCAGAUGAACCAACUCAGCAAACCCGGCCUGCCUCUGAUAAAACUAGCACCCAGCUGCUGAAUUGCUUUUCUGGAAUGCAAUUUGCAGUGACAAUUAGGGGGUAUCGUAAAUUAUGCACAUUUAAUGUUCUCAUUACUCCCAGCCCCUUCAGGGCUGGUCAACAACCCUGUUGAAAUUCCAAGUUUCCCUCUGCAAUUUACCACACAGGGCACGAAGCUUUCCAGAAAACAGUCGCUAUAUAAACAGAUUUAAUUUGCUCUGCGCAUUUUACACAUUGCUGGGACAAAAGCUGUUUUGUAGUCUCCUGCUGAUCAGGUUCACCCCAAGCAUCAGCUUUCAUUGCUUCCAUGUGGCCUUUGGUAAGAAGGUGGAAACAUCCUUCCCCCGGGAGGAGGCUGGAUCCAGCCACAUUUCAAUCGGAUGCAAAUUAACUGUGAGGUUUGCACGGGCUGCAUGUUUUUGAUAAAGAAAUCAAUAUUAGCUGUACCCGCCUAUCAAUCUUCACUCUGGGUUUUAUUUUUUUUUUUUCCAGAAGAAAAUGAUGACAGGAAAACUGUAAUGAACACUGUGACAAAGCCCAAUGGCAACAAAUAUUUUUGUGGAACGGCUGCAGAUUUAUUGUUUUUCCUAUGCAGUUUCCAGCUUGUCACGAGGCCUGGGGCAGUAAAUAAGAGCCAACUAUUGGCAAAAAUAUUACUUGCCAUCCAGAUGUAAAUAAUGCUUAGGUCAACAGCUUAUUACUGUGCAAGACAGAUGAAAAAGAAGCAGCGAUCAGUCACUUGACUCAGGAAGCAAUCAAAUUCAUAUGGAAAAGGUUGCACAAAACGUUCCUUGGCUUUCAUUUAACCAAAAUCUUUAACAUUAGAAGUCUACGGGAAGCCCACUUAGUACUGAGUGCAUUUCAAGAAGCUGCAGGAAAAGAUAAAAACAUGCGGUACAAAGGGACACUUUGAAGAUACUUCGUGCCCUUUUCUCAGCUUAUUGCCCUGUUCUCAAUUUAAGUCAUUGUUCUUAGGGGAAAAAAUUUAUCUUUCAUGAGUUUGAACUAGCUGGGUUAUGGAGAUACUUUAUGGAAUGUAUUUAAUUGUUCUGACAGAACAUUAGCUUGCUGUUUGCCUUAAGGUCUGAUUCAUCGGGAUCCUUAUAUAUGCUUAAGCGAGCAAUAAAAAGAAUUUCCCUAAAAAUAGCUCAUCAUUUGCCUUUCUUGCUGAUAUUACCUUAUUCAUUAGCAAGAAAAUGUCUGCACUGCAAAGAAGAUGCAUCCUUUGCACCUCCAUUGCUGUGGGCCCUAAAAGCUCAGCAGCUGCCCAGGAGUGAGUGGCUGUGCCACACUCAACAAGUGUGAAGAAGCACCUCUGCCUACCUAAUGCCAUCUGAACUCCAGGCCUCACUGAGUGCAUAGCUUUGGUGCUGUAUCCAGUAAAUGAACGCUACUACAGGUUCAAUUUCAUUUCCCAUAUCAACCUUCUCAUCAGUACUAAUUUUAUUUCUGCUGCCACUGUGACAUAACACAUACAGAAGGAAGGGGAGAGGGGAAGACACAGCCCAACCAGCCCACAGGCAUUGGCUGCAAAGAAGGUAAAAGAGAAAUCCUGGCGUGAACAGACGGCAGGCAUACAACUAUUUAAACAAGCAUUAAAUGCAUUUGUGAUUGUCACAGUGACAGAAUACUUUCAUUUCUGUAUGCUGUAGUAAUGCCCACAUUCUUGGUGUUGGAUGCCAAAUUAUUCGAAGAGCAGAAGAACUGCAGUUAUGUACUGACCAAAUAUCACAGUGCCAUAAGGUAUGACAUGAGUUUCAAUUUAACCUAAUAACUUACUUCAAAGAGAAAGCACAUUUCUAUGCUACUUUACGACUCAACAGUACAUCUCUCUGUGGCACAUAUUUAUUGAAAAAAUCCUGACUGGGAACAACUUUGUUUAUUUGUUUAAAUAUAAAUGCAGUGUUGAGGAUUUUAAGGUCCCUUAAGGCAGCCUCUUUGGAGUGGGAAACAAAACAAGGUGAUGAGUUUUAGACGAACUGGAGUUUUUAUAAUACAAGAAUGUAAUAGACUUGCUACUACUCCCUUAGACAGACCGAAGGAGUUAUUUAAAAGCACAGAACAACAGCUGGUACCUGCUCUGGUCUGAGGCCUGGUGGGACCCAGGCAUAUUCUUCCAGGGCACAGCCAGAGUCGUCAUCUGAUGUUGAGCUUCGCUGACACGCGAAGACAAGAUUGUUAGCUUUGGGCUCCAUCUCCAGGGGCACAAGUGUGAAGUGUUCAGUGUUUCAGCUGCAGUUCAUCAAGCAGUUGAUCUGCAGAAAGAGAUAAACAGAGCUUUAAUCAACUUCAACAUGCAAAAACUGAUUAUCAACAUAAACGAUCUUGCAAGAGUUUAGUAUUCCUUGCAUUGGCCAGAGUAUGAUUAGAGCAUCAUUACAACAAGCAAUUCAGAGGUAUUCAAGGAGCUCUCAAAAAAGGAAAACAAAUACCAAAAGAGAAAAGUGAAAAUACCGCUUACUGAAGAGAAAGAAAAGCAGACACCCACUACCACGUGUGGCAGCCAACAUCUAUUUCAGCAUUAGCUGCCAUCUCUUACAUUUCUGCUUGCUUCACAGAGAGUGUAUACAGAGAUAGGAAAGACUCAGCAGACGUUAACAAAAUGAAUGAGACAAGCUCCGUCUGAAGUCACUACUAAUCUAAUAACACAGAACACGUGAAAACUGCUUGUCAAAAACUGAAGAAGUUCUCAGGGAGAGACAGCUGUGCAAGUAGCAUCCUGUUUUUAACACGGCAGGCACAAAGCGAUGUCUGCGAGAUUCCUUGUUUUAGCUGUAUCAGAGCGGAAGGGUGUUGGUCCAGUUAAAUAUCUGAAAUCCAAUUAUGGCAGAUUAGGCUCUGUAAAAUACAUCAUGAUUGUUCUGUUAAUUUAAAACCCUACAGGGAGAUGCUUCUGUUGAUUCAUGAAGCCUACAAAGCUCAGUAUCAGUGGGAUCAUUUUGAGUCACAACUGGCAAAGAAGGCUCUCGCCAACAUCUGUAACUUUCUGCAGUAAAAAGCUUAUUAAGAUAAAUAUCUUACAUUCAUUCUAGCAGGAGUUCUUGGGAAACAUCAGCGGAAUACAGAUUACCAAAACCAGAGGAUGUGUUCUGCCAAGACGGACAUCCUGAACACCUGAGCUUGAAAAUGAGCCUGCCUUUACACUAUGCCAUGCAUGAGCUGCACCUUCCCUGUUCCAAGUGUUUUUUUCCACCCAUCCACCUAAACAGAGACACAGCUGUGGCAUCUCUAGAUGCAGGCUGCUGGCAAACUGCAGAAAAACAUCAUCUCCUCCACGCAUAACCCUUGGGUCUACAGGAGAGCAAACCACACUGCAAGUCCCAUCGUCACCAUGUUAGAGCAAACAAACUGCUGCUGGAUUACAGGUGGAAGGAAAGCAGCCAAGGCUUCUCCUCCUCCAUGCACAAAGCACUGAAGCUGACUCCUGCCCAGUAACCCACGGAUGGAAGGGAACCACAAGAUGAAGCACCUUUGUCAAAGCUUCACUGGGCAGCCUGACCUCAACCACGGCAGCAAGGAGCAAACCUGACACCACAUUCAGCCAGAGAGCCUGUCAGCUUUGCAGUCCUGGGGCACCAGCACACCGGGUAACCGCGGCACUGCUCAACAUGGACUGCUCCAAAGCCUCUCUGUGGGACCCGAGGUUAACUGCUCUGCCUUGCUUUCUCCAGCUGACAAGAAAAAUAAAUAGA